UGAGGGAUGAAGGCCUCUGGGCUGUAAACCUCUUUUCUCGAGGAAGAAGAACUGACGGUACUUGAGGAAUAAGCCACGGCUAAUUCCGUGCCAGCAGCCGCGGUAAUACGGGAGUGGCAAGCGUUAUCCGGAAUUAUUGGGCGUAAAGCGUCCGCAGGUGGCCCUGUAAGUCUGUCGUUAAAGCGUGGAGCUUAACUCCAUUUAAGCGAUGGAAACUACAGGGCUAGAGUGUGGUAGGGGCAGAGGGAAUUCCCGGUGUAGCGGUGAAAUGCGUAGAUAUCGGGAAGAACACCAGUGGCGAAGGCGCUCUGCUGGGCCAUCACUGACACUCAUGGACGAAAGCCAGGGGGGCGAAAGGGAUUAGAUACCCCUGUAGUCCUGGCCGUAAACGAUGAACACUAGGUGUCGGGGGAAUCGACCCCCUCGGUGUCGUAGCCAACGCGUUAAGUGUUCCGCCUGGGGAGUACGCACGCAAGUGUGAAACUCAAAGGAAUUGACGGGGGCCCGCACAAGCGGUGGAGUAUGUGGUUUAAUUCGAUGCAACGCGAAGAACCUUACCAGGGUUUGACAUCCUGCGAAUCCCUUGGAAACGAGGGAGUGCCUUCGGGAGCGCAGAGACAGGUGGUGCAUGGCUGUCGUCAGCUCGUGUCGUGAGAUGUUGGGUUAAGUCCCGCAACGAGCGCAACCCACGUCGUUAGUUGCCAGCAUUCAGUUGGGCACUCUAGCGAGACCGCCGGUGAUAAACCGGAGGAAGGUGUGGAUGACGUCAAGUCAUCAUGCCCCUUACAUCCUGGGCUACACACGUACUACAAUGCUACGGACAAAGGGCAGCAAGCUCGCGAGAGUUAGCAAAUCCCAUAAGCCGUGGCUCAGUUCAGAUCAUAGGCUGCAACUCGCCUACGUGAAGGAGGAAUCGCUAGUAAUCGCAGGUCAGCAUACUGCGGUGAAUACGUUC
rnacentral:rRNA from 1 species